UCUGAGGAGCCAUUCUUAAAGCUUUCUGUGAUAAAGACCACAAAGCCAAACUUCUUCAUCACUCCUAGUUAUAACAGCACCCUCUGCCACCGAAGUAAGGGACCUGGUAAGUGAGAUGGAGAAGGAAAGGAAGCUGAUAAAAGAUGGGUGACCCCUGGGGGACAGGGCAGAACAUGCCCCAAGGAGCUGGAACACGUGCUCACACUCUGCCAUCAGGGAGCGGACUCUUCCUGUUGAUUCCUUUGAAAACUGCCAGUAGAAACAAUUAGCAGAGGAGCUGAAAAAUUGGACCUGGUGGGAUAAGGAAGACCAGACUCCAGGACAAUUCCUUGUUUGUUGAGGGGAACCGCUGUUCAGCUUUCUCUGGCUCCCGAAGCAAUGGAAUUUCCUCCUCACCGAUGCCUAUGAACAGCAUGUUUCAAAAUAUGAAUUCCUUCCCAUUUAAUGAAAAUGAUUCCAUUAAGUGUUAUAAAUUGAAUUCAAUUACUAUCCAUUUUUCUUUUUAAAUAUGCUUAAUAAUAAAUAAGUUUAACCAAA